GUGGGGAAUUUUGGACAAUGGGGGCAACCCUGAUCCAGCAAUGCCGCGUGCAGGAAGAAGGCCUUCGGGUUGUAAACUGCUUUUGUACGGAACGAAAAGGCUCUGGUUAAUACCUGGGGCUCAUGACGGUACCGUAAGAAUAAGCACCGGCUAACUACGUGCCAGCAGCCGCGGUAAUACGUAGGGUGCAAGCGUUAAUCGGAAUUACUGGGCGUAAAGCGUGCGCAGGCGGUUUUGUAAGACAGACGUGAAAUCCCCGGGCUCAACCUGGGAAUGGCGUUUGUGACUGCAAAGCUGGAGUGCGGCAGAGGGGGAUGGAAUUCCGCGUGUAGCAGUGAAAUGCGUAGAUAUGCGGAGGAACACCGAUGGCGAAGGCAAUCCCCUGGGCCUGCACUGACGCUCAUGCACGAAAGCGUGGGGAGCAAACAGGAUUAGAAACCCUGGUAGUCC
rnacentral:rRNA from 1 species